rfam:Exophiala xenobiotica strain CBS 118157 unplaced genomic scaffold supercont1.3, whole genome shotgun sequence.
ACAAUCGACCAUAGGAUGCGUAAUCAACAGGGCUUCCCGUCCGCUCAGCCGUACUUAAGCCGCAUGCCGAUGAGUUAGUAGUUGCGUCGGUGACGAGCAGCGAAUCCUCAUUGUUGAUUGUU